rnacentral:lncRNA from 1 species
AUGAGAAAGAGGGCAGAGGUAAUGCCAUCGAUUCCUCUCAGGUUAAGUUUCGGUUCCUCAAGAGAGCAAAGGCAACGUCAUCUGUUACGGGGCAAGGCUGGUGCCUCUCAGGUUAAGUUUCGGUUCCUCGCGCCCCGAAACCAGGCGCGCCCAGGGCCGAGAGCACCGGGCCAACACAGCAAGGCCCGAGGAAGGGAGGGUUGUUUUGCUCCCCCGCUCGGCACACGCCGCUCGCACCCCCGCCGCCGGCGCGGGGCAGCAGACGUACGCGCUCCCUCCUCUCGCCCCCCGCGCUUCGAGUGCACCCCGGCUCGGCCGCCGCCCUCCCGCUGCCUCGAGGCGUCGCGGCGCCAGGCCCCGGCCCGGGCCUCCCGCCGCCGCCGGGGACCCCCAGCCAUGGCGCCGUGCCACCGCCUGCCUCGCCGGCGGCGAGCGGGCCCGGCGGCGGCGCAACGGUCGCCGCCGCCCGGGGGGGAGGGGGGGGAACUGGGGCGCCCUCACAGCCCCUCCCUCCGCCCGGAGCUCAGGCAGGGAGGGCCCGGCCCAUUCAUUGAGCUCCGGAGGGGGAGGGGGACCAGGCACCGAGGGGCAGCGAGCACUACGACGUGCGGUGAGGGCUGCCCGUGGCCCUCCUUAUGCCCUCCCUUCCCCCGCCGCCCCUGUGGUACUUACUGCAGGGCAGGGCAGGGCAGGGCAGGGCAGGGCAGGGCAGGGCAGGGCAGGGCAGGGGGACCCCUCCGCUCCCUGCCGUCACAGGCCGGCCCGCACGAGCACCCACUUCCGCGCGCGGGGCGGGGCGGCCGCGGAAGUGGGCGUGCCCAACCCCGGAACGGAGCAUGCUCAGUAGCGCCCGCUGAAGUCCUUACCGCCACCGCCCGCUGCCCGGACUUGCGCCGGGAGCGAGAAGCGCGGGUCUGGGGGCAACAGGAGGCGGGCUUCGCUGGCGCCCCCGCCGCCGGCGCUGAUUGGCUGCCUGGCUGCCGUCCGUCCCCCGGCGUGGGCCGAAGAUGA